AGCUUAAAGAAAUCAUUUUAGGUAAAUUCUGCCCAGCGCAUAAUCCGUUAGCGGCCGCAGUACCUUGACUGUGCUAAGGUAGCAUAAUCAAUUGGCUUUUAAUUGAAGUCUGGAAUGAAAGGUCUAAUAAAGAAUUUUCUGUCUCCUUUGAAUUUCAUUGAAUUUAUUUAAUAAGUGAAAAUACUUAAUUAAAGAAAAAAGACGAGAAGACCCUUAGAAUUUUGAAUAACAAUUUUUUAUAAUUUUUAUUUUUUUGUUGGGGCGACAUUUAAACACUUUAAACUUUAAUGUUUUUUUACCAGACACUAAGUUUUGCACGAUAAAAUUACCUUAGGGAUAACAGCAUAAUGAUUUACAUAGCUUGUGACCUCGAUGUUGGACUAGGAACUAGAAGACUAACCGUCAAAAUAGAUUGUUCUGUUCGAACAAGAAUUUCCU
rnacentral:rRNA from 1 species